rnacentral:rRNA from 1 species
CCUACGGGCGGCUGCAGUGGGGAAUUUUGGACAAUGGGGGCAACCCUGAUCCAGCCAUUCCGCGUGAGUGAAGAAGGCCUUCGGGUUGUAAAGCUCUUUCGCAAGGGAAGAAAACUUACUCAAUAACACUGGGUGAGGCUGACGGUACCUUGAUAAGAAGCACCGGCUAACUACGUGCCAGCAGCCGCGGUAAUACGUAGGGUGCGUACGUUAAUCGGAAUUACCGGGGGCGAUGCUUGCGCAGAGAUGUGAAAUCCCCGGGCUCAACCUGGGAACUGCGUGUGAAACUACAAGGCUAGAGUAUGGCAGAGGGGGGUAGAAUUCCACGUGUAGCAGUGAAAUGCGUAGAGAUGUGGAGGAAUACCAAUGGCGAAGGCAGCCCCCUGGGUCAAUACUGACGCUCAUGCACGAAAGCGUGGGGAGCAAACAGGAUUAGAUACCCUUGUAGUC